UACAGAGGUCUCAAGCGUUGUUCGGAUUCAUUGGGCGUAAAGGGCGCGUAGGCUGCGGGGCAAGUCGGGUGUGAAAUCUCAGAGCUCAACUCUGAAACUGCGCCCGAGACUGCUUCUCUUGAGUCCCGGAGAGGAAGGUGGAAUUCCCGGUGUAGCGGUGAAAUGUGUAGAGAUCGGGAGGAACACCGGUGGCGAAGGCGGCCUUCUGGACGGUGACUGACGCUGAGGCGCGAAAGCGUGGGGAGCAAACGGG
rnacentral:rRNA from 1 species